rnacentral:lncRNA from 1 species
UUAUGCUACAUUAAAAUUUGGUUUCUUUGCUGUAGUGCUUGAGUUUUGAAAGUUACAUAGUUAAAGCAAAGUGAAUACCAAGUUCAUUUUUCUCACCCCUAUUCUGUCAGAUGUGUCCAUUUUAGCUUCCAUGACGCAGAUUCAAAUUGACAGACUUUAUAACUGCUCAACUUCCUGUAAGUUCAGCCAUACAAACAGGUGAACAUUUUUGGAACCAACUAUAUCUGUUAGAAUUAACUGCAUCACAUUGCAAACUGCAGCAUCACCUGCCACAAAUGAAAAUAGUUUGGUGAUGGAAUUACUCAUUUUUGCUAUUAAUUAACUAUUAGUAGGGACAAAUUUUUAAUUUGCAGUAUUUUUAAAUUAAUCUUUAAUUCAUACAAUUGAAUCACCAUUUGCACAUUAGGCCAUGCCUGACAGUGCUAUAGUUUGCAAUGUGAUAUGCAUAACUCUAAUAAGUAUAUUCAAUUCUUGUUUAAUUCUCUUACAAAUAGUUAAAAUAUAUUGUACAAAUAAACAAACUAAAAUCAUGGCAAAAACAAUAUGGGUGAAUAAUAUCCAUUCUCAAAAAGUGAUAUUGCUAGUUCAUUUCUGUGAUUUAAGAUCAAAAUUACAAGCCUUUUUUAUUGCUGAGUCCUAUUAUCAAGAG